UACGUAGGUGGCAGGCGUUGUCCGGAUUUACUGGGUGUAAAGGGCGUGUAGCCGGGCUGACAAGUCAGAUGUGAAAUUCCGGGGCUCAACCCCGGACCUGCAUUUGAAACUGUUGGUCUUGAGUAUCGGAGAGGCAGGCGGAAUUCCUAGUGUAGCGGUGAAAUGCGUAGAUAUUAGGAGGAACACCAGUGGCGAAGGCGGCCUGCUGGACGACAACUGACGGUGAGGCGCGAAAACGUGGGGAGCAAACAGG
rnacentral:rRNA from 1 species